rnacentral:lncRNA from 1 species
GUUGAUUUUCAGCUUAGUCUGUCGUGAGGAGUUCAUGAUGUUUUAUACAAAAUUCUAACAAUAUUUAUUACAAUCAUAUUCUAGCAACUUGGGAUCACAAAUGGUUUAUUAUCUACAUAGCUGGAGGAACAUCUGCUGCUGUUUUACUGUUUGUUUUCCUACUCAUUUUCUGCAUCACCACUGCUUAUCGCAAAAAGAAGAAGAGGAAGAGGAUCACAGAGGCCUUAUUUAAUGCUUUGUAUUCUACUCAGGAUGAGCCUGGUAACAAUUAUGCAGAACACAAUUAUCAUACCACAUGGGACAUAGAAAGAAGAAAAGAAGAGUCAUCACUCAGGCCGGAGCAGGAGAUUUACGUGAACUGCAUAAACCUAAGAAAUGACAAUUAGCUUCCAUCUUGUGAAUGAAGUAACCCGACUUCAGGCCAUAUAUUUGCAUGUUGGACUAGAUUUGUUUUGCGUGGGUGAGCUUUAGAAGGUUAAUCUGGCUGUGCCAAGCAUGGCCCAGGCUGCC